rnacentral:rRNA from 1 species
GGUUGCGAUCAUACCAUCACUAUUGCACCGGAUCCCAUCAGAACUCCGCAGUUAAGCGUGCUUGGGCGAGAGUAGUACUAGGAUGGGUGACCCCCUGGGAAGUCCUCGUGUUGCAACCC